ACCCUCUCAGGACCACAUCUGGAGAGUUUCCAGUACUCCACCAGUCUCAGCUAAGGGGAGAGGCAAGCAGAGGCAUACCCAUUCCAUUCCUAGCUUGAGCGGUGGCUAGAGAGUGGAAAGCAAUCUGCUACAAGU